UCACGCUCUCGCUAAAGGACCCUCUGAAUUUUUUGAAAAUUUCAACCAAAAUUCUCGAAUUUCAGAUAUUUUACAGCGCAUGCGAAGCUUUUUUUACAUCACAUACCAUAAUUUCACAAUAGAUUCACGUUAAAAU
ensembl:ncRNA F52E4.9 ncRNA